AUACGGAGGGUGCAAGCGUUAAUCGGAAUUACUGGGCGUAAAGCGCACGCAGGCGGUUUGUUAAGUCAGAUGUGAAAUCCCCGGGCUCAACCUGGGAACUGCAUCUGAUACUGGCAAGCUUGAGUCUCGUAGAGGGGGGUAGAAUUCCAGGUGUAGCGGUGAAAUGCGUAGAGAUCUGGAGGAAUACCGGUGGCGAAGGCGGCUCUCUGGUCUGUAACUGACGCUGAGGCUCGAAAGCGUGGGGAGCAAACAGGAUUAGAUACCCUGGUAGUCCACGCCGUAAACGAUGUCGAUUUGGAGGUUGUGCCCUUGAGGCGUGGCUUCCGGAGCUAACGCGUUAAAUCGACCGCCUGGGGAGUACGGCCGCAAGGUUAAA
rnacentral:rRNA from 1 species